rnacentral:lncRNA from 1 species
CAGGUUUGAGAUGUUGGACCAAGACACCCCAAGCUCAUGGGUGGUCGACCCCGCCGGCCACCGAGCUAUCUAUUCAGGGCGAAUAAUGGAGGAUCGCAUUGACCGGAUGCCAAGCCUGACGCACGGAGUCUGGAGGCACUACACUAUCAGCUUCAACUUGCCACCGGGUGUACACUGCGGACCUGGACUGGGAGUGCCACCACCACCGUCGCCUUCGGACGACGAGUACCCCUCGGAGGAGGUGCCUGUGGGAGGGACUUCUUCAGGCACUAGUUCACCCACUGUCGCGGCUGCUAUAGACUUGGGAUCGGGUGCAGAACCCGCUCGACCAGCUGUGGAGACCGAUGCAGUCAUCGACAUAGUCGUCUUGGAUUUAGAUUCAGACGACGAUCUUGGGGAUGCAUAGUUGGGAUUAGUGUAGGAGUAGCGUCUUGGCUCUGAUGUUCAGUCUUUCGUUUUGGGCAGGGUAGGUCCCCGACCUUUAGCUUUUCUUGUGGUUCUCUUUACGGAAAUCACAGAGAGUUGGUUGGGCUAGGAGGUCUUGUUUUAGGCCAUCUGGGCUGACUUAUUCUCAUUUUGAGGGUUUGUGUUGUAGACACUUAACCUUUUCUUUUGAAAUGUACCUUUUGCCUUCGGGCGUUACUCUCUUUUGCUGUCCGUCACUGGAGGGUUACUCGUGACGUGGUUUACUACUUACAGCGGGGGCUGUAACUAUUAUUGUAUAUUAGUUCUGUUAUCUUCUGUUGUCAAGUUCUAUUUCUUUCAGUUUUAAUUUUGUAUUAUCGAGAAAAAAAAAAUAUAUUCACGUUUUUCCGCAUUAAGUAUUUCUUUUAGUUACUAAAGUGACACCACCGAAAUCGGGGUGUUACAAUUGUGGUAUCAGAGCUUGUCGAGUCUUUCGGGAGUCUUUGGGGAAUAGGUCUUCUGUGCUAGGUUGUGUUACUCUGUAAAGAGUAAAAAUUGAUUGUCUGCCAAGCGAUUUUUUCGCUUAGAAUUGGUUGAAGUUAUUGCUUAAUCAUAUUGUAUAGUUGUGCCAGAGACUAUCUUAUGAUGAGUACUAACUGUUUGUUUGACUAAGCAUAGGAUGGUAAACCCUGACCGUAUGGCGAAGGCAAUAGCUACCAUGAUUGAGGCAAUGAUGAAUCAGGCUGCUGAAGACGCUUACAGACACGCUAAGGAGGCUGCACGUGAACAACCUCAACCGCUAAUCGAGGCGUCCCAAUACCAGCAAAGUAGGUUGGACCGAGCUGGAACUGGAGGACCAGUGAGGUCAGGUUCUCAGGAGCACCGACGGUGGAAGCCAUACCUGCAUCCUGAGGGAAGAGACCCUAUUCCAGGAUCACGCAAGUCGACGACCACAACUAUUGGCCAGGAGGCUGUGUCAUGUUUCCGUUGUGGAAAGCGUGGACACUACGCCUUUCAGUGCUCAGUGACUGGACCACGAUGCUUCAAGUGCAAACAACGUGGACAUUUGGCCGUGAACUGUAGGACGUUCCAAGCGGGACCGUCUGACAACAAGAUGAAGGGUAAACUUCCUGCCAUAUCUAAAGGGGCGAGGAAGCAAGUAACGUGUUACAGGUGCAAGAAGGUGGGGCACCACUCUAACAAGUGUCCAGACGGGAGACCUCUAUGUUUCAACUGCAAUCGCCCGGGGCAUCAAGCCAAGGAUUGCAAUGUAACCAGGGUUGAGCCAUCUGUGCCUACGGUAAGAGGAAGACAUCCUGCUGCACGGGGAGGAGUCUAUGUCUCGUGCGGCGAGGGAGCUGGUCGACUAGUCAGAGGAGAGCGCACAAACGAUGGUAACCUUCUAACUAUUCUUUCUCAUUCUAGUAUAAUACGCUUCAUUACUCUCGUAGAACGUGCAACACACCUAACUUGCCCUUACUGUCGAGCUUUGACUUUAUAGUUAUUACGCCUAAUAAUACUUUAUUUGACCGUUGCUCGUGUUUAAACUAUAGAAGUUACACGAGGUUUAGAAUAACACGUUAAGCCUAGAAAGUAGUCUUGCACCGAUGCGUUUAACAAGAAGCUAGAAGCUGAAGGAUGAACCUCAGAGAGAUUCCGUAUGGAUAGUAUACGUAUGAUGUCGAGAGUGUGUAGUUUCGUAGCGGCAUCAUUGGGGAUUUAAUAUCAAGAUCUUUGUGACUACUGGAUGAUAGGAACUCAUUGACUGUUCCAGUGGGUUUUUCUAAAUCUUCACCUUCGAUGAAUUAGGCCUGAUCAACUGAAUAUUGAGGGGGUGAUAUUCGGAAUCAGAACUGGCAAUGGACUUUGAUAGAUGGAUUGGUAAGAUUAAUUUGAUUGGAUCGAGGAUUAGUUGAGUUGGGAAGUAAAGUUCUUGUUAAGUAAUCGAUUUCUUUGGGGAAGGAGUUAUAAUUUUAAGAAAUGGAUAUUCAUUUAAGAAGUAUUGAAGAAUUAAAAGACAUUGGAGGUCCAAACUUGGUGAAAGUUUAGGUUCUAAGUCUAUGAAUUCUUGUCUUAAGUGCGUAGGACUCAAGGUUUGUCAGGUUUUGAUCAAGAGACUAAGAAUCAGAUUAAUUGGAGGACGAUCUAGUUACGAAAAUAAUGAGUUAGUAUGAAGAUGAAUACUUGAGGUUGUUAUAUGUGGACAAAUUUCUUAGAGUCUAAGAGUGAAUGGAACUUGGUUAUGGAUUCCGAUGUUACAUGCUGGGGUUAGCAAGUGAUUUUUACUAAGUUGAAUGAGGAUCUUAGGGUUAAGAUUGACCUUGGGAGGUGAAAAUCAUGUACAAAUAAGAUAUUUAGUGGUGUUAGCAUUAACGAUUGUAGUUAAACCUCAGAAUGUUGAGAGAUAGGAUGAUAAAAUGACUAGUUAAGUUUCCUGAGGUACAAUUAUGAUUUGAUCUUCUAGGGAAUAAGUUCGGAUUUGGGGGAAGUGUUAAGGAUUUUAGGUAAGUGUAAAGUGGUUUGUGAAUAAGUGAAGGUUGGUUUUAUGGUUCAAGUAAGGGAAGUCUCGAAAAAGGGGAGAUGACAAUAAUGGAUUGUAAGAUAUUAAGAUGGUGAUUAGCUUAUAAGUUGCUGAUGAAUGGAUGUUAAAAGGGAUUGGGUCUAGCGAUGCACAAGGUAUUAAGACUCAAGUCGAGUUUUAAUUUGAAUGAUGAAUAAGUAGAAGAUUGAUUUCAUGGUGCGAAUGAGGAUAGUUACGAAGUUGGAACUGACGUUAAGAGAUUGGUAGACUCCAAGGGAAUAAGUUCGUCUAUGAGAUAUAGAGCGAUCGAGUUAAGUUUCGAAUCAUGAGUAAAGAUCACGAGGACAGGUUGAACAUCCACUCUGGAAUGGCGGAGGUGUACUGGGUUUAAGCAGAAUAUCGGACGAACGAAAGUAAAUGAGCAAGUGGUUAAGGCUGUGCGAUUGCACAGAGUGCCAACCAAUACUAUUUCCAACAUAGACCCGACACGAGGGGUCGAGCCGGGUGACAUAGAGCUGAAAGAUGAACUGUCUUUCGAAAAGCGCCGCCAAUUAGCAAUGGUGACAAUCAUUUGGAACAAGGACAUAGGCGAUGCUACAUGGGAGCUUAAGGAACAGAUCGAGGGACAGUAUCCGGAAUUUUUACUGAACCAUAAGUUUCGAGGUCGAAACUUUCUUUUUGGAGGGUAGUAAUGUAAGACCCAAGUUUUUAAAUUUUGGAUAAGGGAAUAAAAUACAAGAGUUUAUUGGAUGAAAUAAAUUUAUGAAAGAGAAGGUUCAGGAAAAGUCCAAGGAUUAUAUCAAAACCGAUAGAAGUUAUAGCACGACUAACGUUCGCCUAAUCUUAGGUCGAAGACCAUAGUGAAUAGUUAAUUUAUACUUUAGGACACGAUGGAAACUAAUUCCAAAAAAACCUCAGAGAAAUAUUAGAAUUUCUCUUAUUCGUCUAUAAACAAGUAUUUCGACGCGAAACCCUGGAACGUACGAACGUCAAAUUCCAAUUCUCGGAAGUUUGCCGAAACGGAAUCCCUGAUAGUUGAAAAACCCUAAAAUCGACGGACGAUGAAGAUUUUUUCUAUUCGGAGCUUCAAAUGAAGAUUCCACCCGUGAUCGCCUACUUCUCUCGUUGUUUCUAAUCUUUCUUCAGAAGGAAGUUUUCUCAUCCGACAUCCACUGCAAAAAGUAACUUAUCGGGUAAAAAGGUUUUACACCGAUUUUGCAUUAGUCACCUAAAAUAGAAGGAAACUUCUGUUGAGUUUUGGAUUUCUGUCGUCAAAACCUAUCUUAGAAUUCACGGAGAACGAAGCCGGAAAAAUAGGAAUCACUCUUAUAUUUUUAUUUUAACUCUAUGAGUUAAAUCCUCCGGUAUCUAAACUAAUCUGUACCGGUUUACAAAAUAUCUUCUCAAAAUAUCUCCCUAAAAUAUCUAUUCGUUCUUAUCCAGUCUUUGAUAAAUAUCUAUUCAUUCUUAUCCAAUCUUUGAUAAAUAUCUAUUCGUUCUUAUCCAAACUUUGCAAAAUAUCUCCAUUUCCUUCACUAUAUAUAGGUUAUAAGCUAGAAAAUGAAAAUUUUGCAAAACUCACCCAUUUCUUUCCCCAAAACCGCGGCCAAGAGAGGAGAAGAGGAGGAAGUUGAUCUUCGCGAAUCCUUGCCCGUUUGCUUCACCGAUCGUUGCUAAUCGAAGACCUUGAGGUAGGUAAACUAUAUCUCUCUUCUGAUCGUCGUUUCUGUCGACUUCUCCUAAGUCUUUCUGUGUCCAAAGUUUUGAGGUUUUUGGAAAAUUGUCCAAAUAGCUUGAUUUCUCUGUCUAAACAUCGUCCCUGCAUGCUCCUGAGCGUGUUCUGCGGAUUAGAUUUUGUCAGAUGUCGCCGAAAUUCCGCCGGAAUCAAUUCUUGCUUCAAAUACCCAUUUUUAAGCAAAGUCGCAACCUUUUAGCUUAGAACUCUCGACUUGGCUUAGUGCUAGUAGGAGUAGUUGUCAUAAACGUCGUUGUUGACAUCUCCAUCCAAUUUGUUUUUCAAAAAUCCAGUUUUGAAAUUCUGAGUUUAAAAUAAUGACCAAACUACCCCUAUGUCAGUUUUCGAUCCGAAAAUUUUUCCGAGCUUAGAUCCGCCUUAGUUACGACUUAUGUUAACCUAGGAACCAAGUUUGAUCGAAGAAAAAUCGACCCUCCCAAUUAAAGGAAGUGGCCGAGAGCUAUAUCAAGGGGGGGGGGGGGAAGAAUCCGAUUUUUCGAAAACUUGUCUUAACGCGUUAGAUUGGCGUACCACGGAGUUGUAGUGUUUCGUGUGACCCUAGGACUUAUUGUUUGCUGAGUUUGUGACUCAUUGUGAUUGAUUUCUGUGAAAUUUCUUUAAGGCUCGUUUGAGGAAUUCGGAGGACUUGAGGAGGAAGAUCGUGAAGGAAAGUCCAAGGAGCGAGCUGGAAAAUCAACAGGUGAGGGCUACUCUCUGAAUUACUAGAUAAUGCUUUAGGUGUCGACGAAUUCGACUUGAUUUAUGUGUUAUGCACUUAAUUGCUAAUUGUCUGAAAUGAUUUCUGAGGCUUCGGCCGAUCUUGUUGAGUACUGGAUGCCAUGAUAUUGUGUGCUAAAUGAUUCACAUGUUAUGUGCUAAAUGGUUAAUCUAGGAUGUGUUGGAAUAUGCUGUUUAUGUUUAUUGAUUGAGCUGAUUUAUUUAUGUUACUCCACUUAUAUCUGUUAUGCUUUAGAGUGAGGAUAACGGGCAUGUCAUGCCGAUUUUAUUUUUGAGAUUUUGGGAAAGUUUGAUGGGACGGACCAAGGUUCGUACCCUAUUAUUGCUUUAUGGAUCGAGACCUUCUCAAAGGAAAAUGAGUUUGAAAAUGAUAUUGGUAAAACCCCAUUUGAAUUCACGUAAGAACUUGGGUUGUUCUGUCUAAGGCAAGAAGGGCUUUUAAUGUGGCAUUGUGCCCGGCCAGCUUACCUGGGAACUUCUCGGGCCAUUACUUGGGUGAUGAUGGACCUUUUGUUUUGAGACCAUCUCCAGGGAAUCAUUGGAAUUAUGGGAUCUUUGAAACUAAUAGGAUUAGAGACGAAACUUAAACAAUUUCAUAAUGAACCUCCAUAAUGUAUUAAACAAACUCAAAACCCUUAAUAUAAUGAUAAAAGACUCAGACGAAAGUUUAGGGCUCGAAUAUUAGUUUUGAAAAAUGAGAAGUGUCGUCGAGUCCAAGUCUUGAGGAAACUUACAAGUUUCCGAGUAUGCUUAUACUUUUUCGCUCGAUGAGCAGUUUAAUGUUUGGCUAUCUAAAGUUUAGCCGGAGACUAUAAGUUUCCAAGUACUUCGGUACCCUUUCGUUCGAUGAGCAGUUUAUUGAUUGGCUAUCUAAAGUUUAGCCGGGAACCAUGAGUUCCCAAGUACAUUCUUCUUCUUUUGAUUAAUUCAUUUUGUCGCAGAAUCGACAUUUGCCUUAGGGUAGGCUUUUUAGAGACAAUAAGAUAGCUAGAACACGUGACGACGUGUCGAGUGAGGUCGGAGACGUUGUUUGGCUAAUCACUUGCAUUCAUGCACUCAUUUUGAGGUUAAUACACGGCGGAUUACCGGACCUCGGUGGAUUCCAAAAUGGUCAUAAGACCCGGAUUUCCAUAUUUAGGACACUACGGUGGUCCUUAGUAGCAGACGGAAUGGCAGACCUACGGGUUCACUGCUGAUCUGACUACUUUUGUGUGGUGUAAGAGGCGCCCGAGCGGAAUGGUCCCACUUUGGCCGGUGUUAGGGCUGACUCGAUGGUGUCCAUCCUUCUUCCGGAAUGCAUUUUGUUACCCAGCAUUGCAUUUCAUGCAACAUACAUGCUGACUUAGUUGCUGAGUGUGAUUGGUACCUGUUUAUCCUACUUGAGGCAUGCUAAUUGUUAUUAUGAUCUUUAUAUUCAUUGUGAUAUAUGCAACCCUAGGAUGUUAUCCCUAAACGUAUAAGCCUGAGAGGCUAAAUAAUUAUUACCCUAUAUAUCUGGUUUUAUUAUUUAUAUAAUUCUUUGGAGUUGACCCUCGCGUCUUCUGUGUGUGUUUGGGCGGACUACGCCAUUGUCAGUUGAGUAUGGCGGACUGGUACGAGACGGUCGUCCCUUCGGGGGGGACCAGGUUUGAGAUGUUGGACCAAGACACCCCAAGCUCAUGGGUGGUCGACCCCGCCGGCCACCGAGCUAUCUAUUCAGGGCGAAUAAUGGAGGAUCGCAUUGACCGGAUGCCAAGCCUGACGCACGGAGUCUGGAGGCACUACACUAUCAGCUUCAACUUGCCACCGGGUGUACACUGCGGACCUGGACUGGGAGUGCCACCACCACCGUCGCCUUCGGACGACGAGUACCCCUCGGAGGAGGUGCCUGUGGGAGGGACUUCUUCAGGCACUAGUUCACCCACUGUCGCGGCUGCUAUAGACUUGGGAUCGGGUGCAGAACCCGCUCGACCAGCUGUGGAGACCGAUGCAGUCAUCGACAUAGUCGUUUUGGAUUUAGAUUCAGACGACGAUCUUGGGGAUGCAUAGUUGGGAUUAGUGUAGGAGUAGCGUCUUGGCUCUGAUGUUCAGUCUUUCGUUUUGGGCAGGGUAGGUCCCCGACCUUUA